rnacentral:rRNA from 1 species
GUAGCCGACCUGAGAGGGUGAUCGGCCACACUGGGACUGAGACCCGGCCCCCACUCCUACGGCAGGCAGCAGUAGGGAAUCUUCCGCAAUGGACGAAAGUCUGACGGAGCAACGCCGCGUGAGUGACGAAGGCCUUCGGGUCGUAAAGCUCUGUUGUUAGGGAAGAACAAGUACCGUUCGAAUAGGGCGGUACCUUGACGGUACCUAACCAGAAAGCCACGGCUAACUACGUGCCAGCAGCCGCGGUAAUACGUAGGUGGCAAGCGUUGUCCGGAAUUAUUGGGCGUAAAGCGCGCGCAGGCGGUCUUUUAAGUCUGAUGUGAAAGCCCACGGCUCAACCGUGGAGGGUCAUUGGAAACUGGAGGACUUGAGUGCAGAAGAGGAGAGUGGAAUUCCACGUGUAGCGGUGAAAUGCGUAGAUAUGUGGAGGAACACCAGUGGCGAAGGCGGCUCUCUGGUCUGUAACUGACGCUGAGGCGCGAAAGCGUGGGGAGCAAACAGGAUUAGAUACCCUGGUAGUCCACGCCGUAAACGAUGAGUGCUAGGUGUUGGGGGGUUCCACCCUCAGUGCUGAAGUUAACACAUUAAGCACUCCGCCUGGGGAGUACGACCGCAAGGUUGAAACUCAAAGGAAUUGACGGGGGCCCGCACAAGCAGUGGAGCAUGUGGUUUAAUUCGAAGCAACGCGAAGAACCUUACCAGGUCUUGACAUCCUCUGACAAUCCUGGAGACAGGACGUUCCCCUUCGGGGGACAGAGUGACAGGUGGUGCAUGGUUGUCGUCAGCUCGUGUCGUGAGAWNGUUGGGUUAAGUCCCGCAACGAGCGCAACCCUUGAUCUUAGNUUGCCAGCAUUCAGUUGGGCACUCUAAGGUGACUGCCGGUGACAAACCGGAGGAAGGUGGGGAUGACGUCAAAUCAUCAUGCCCCUUAUGACCUGGGGCUACACACGUGCUACAAUGGACGGGACAAAGGGCAGCGACACCGCGAGGUGAAGCAAAUCCCAUAAAGCCGGUCUCAGUUCGGAUUGCAGGCUGCAACUCGCCUGCAUGAA